UAAGGAGCAGAACCAGAGGAGUUCUGCAGGGGCCUAAAACCACUUGAAUCCCUUUAGAAAGGGGGGGAUUUGGGCAUCAAACUGUCAGACUCUUCAGACCUGACCCUUCUGUGUCUGAUCACUUAAAAAGGCAACUGCCCCCCAAGGUUCUUUCUCAUUGAUCUCCAGACAGACCCGAAAUCCUUCCCUUCUUGAACAUAAGAAGCAGUGAGUGCCCAGAGCUGACCCGGAUCUGACCGAGGCCUUAUCUCAACUGUGCACAGACUGACUUCAAGUCUGAUGGGUCGGCCUCCGUAAUCUCUGGAAAAACAGAAUGAACCCCUGCAGCAUUGAGACCCCAGGACAAGCUGAUCCGCAGAGAGAAAGAUUUUGCCAUGAGGAGUGAAAUGUAGAGGACAAAAUGGAGUCUCUCCUGUCAGGUGGGACCCUGUGUGAAGCAGCGGCCUGUGUCAAGCCAUGACAAGUAGUUAAAGGUACUGCAGCUAGGAGAUAUUCCCUGGGACCAGUGUCAGCUGACACCCCAGAACUGAUGAGGAUCAGAACCGGAGGGUCUACAGGGGCCUAAGAGUGAUUCAGAAAGGGGAGGAAUUGGCAGCACAAUGUCAGACUCUUCAGACCUGACCCCUCUGUGUCUGACCACUUGAAAAGGCAA